UGACCUUAUCACAAAGGCCAGGCAAAGUGUCCCGCUUUGCCUGGCUUCGUGGAAGAAAGAGAGGGGCAGUAGGGUGAAUCCGUCAUCCAGAGAAAUAGAAAAUGCAAUGUCUUGUCCAACAGUGGGCCCAUCUUCAAAAGGCUGGAAGCAUCCUAAAAUGCUUAAUUUGGUGAGUGUAGUGAAGUUGCAUGACAUAGCUGUGAUACCAUUGUCAUGUUCCCAUCACGCACCACUCUCCCCAUCUCCCCCAAGUAUUUUAUGGGGUAUCACAGCACAGGAAAAAGAGAGUCAAUUUUAUCAGUGAUCAUAGAACAGGUCAAUGGCAAUUUUGUCAGGUUUAAGUGGGCAGUUGAGCUAAGAGAGGAUGUUUAGUUAAGUACAUUUGCAGUUGCAUCUACAUUGUAGAAUUAAUGCUGUUUGACAUGACUGCCAUGGAUCAAUGCAAUGGAAUACUGAGUGUUGUAGCUUUACAAAGUCUUUAGUCAUUUCUCCCAAAAAGGGCUGGUGUGUUGCUAAACUACAAAUCCCAUGCUCUGUGACCUUUGAGCCAUGGUAGUUGAAGUGGUGUCAAUCUGCAUUAAUUCUGCAGUGUAAAUGCAGUAGGUGAUAUAAAAACUGAAUGAUAUAAAAAACAUUGUUGUUCAGUUCAGCUUUUUAGCUCAGAUGCUAAUUUUUCCAUAAACCAAUCUCUUUGGAAGCAAUUAUCUGGUUUUCUAUUUCUUUCUUCCCAGGGACAAACAAGUUUAUAGGUCAAAAACAAUCCAGGAAAAGAUAAAUUUUGGGACGAGUUGGUUUAUGUCUUUAUAUUUUGCUCUAUUUGUGUAUUUCAUUUUGCUCAGACAGUAUAGCUGGAAAAUAAUCAUGUAGGUCAUGCAAAGUUUACAGCUCUUUUAAAAUAUUUUCUUCUACAUCAUAUAUUUCCUCUGUUACAGCAGGAUGCUAAAGUAACUGGAAAGAAAUAAUCAACAUACUAAAUAACAGUGACAUUUUUAUAUAAGAUCAACCACACUGCAUUAUAUUUAAGAUGGUCAACCAAUUAAAGGGUUUUUUUAAAAAAAAAUAAAAAUAAAAUCAGAAUGUCAGGCUUUCUAAGUAGUUAAUUAGCCAAUUAGAUUACAGUGUAUAUGAAAAUGAAUUACAGAAUGCAUGAAGUGCAUAUUGUGAAAACCACAGUAAAAAUAAAAUACUAGGAAAUAUGUUAUUAGUCCCUAUCCAAUUGAAAUAAUGAUGUAAGAAUUGGCAUUCAAGCUGAGAUUUGAAGUCAUCAAUUAUCAUCCUGCUUUAAACUAAGCAGUAAUUUACUUUUUGGAUUACAAUUUCCAAAAUGCCCCAGAUAGAAUAGCCUUCAGAAAGCAUUUUCCUAGCUUUGCAUAUGAAUAGUAAAAAAAUUCAAUGGACAAACAGAUAAAUGUGUGUGUGUGUAUAUAAAAAGUAUUCAGUCCCGUGUGUUAGAGAAAAUAGUAGACAUAGGGUCCAUCUACACUGUAGAAUUAAUGCAGAAUAGUUUGACAGAACUUUAAUUGUCAUGGCUUAGUGAUACGAAAUCCUGGGAUUUCUAGUUUGGUGAGGUACUAGCAUUCUUUGGCAAAAAAAAAUUAAACCUUGUAAAACUACAAUUUCCAUGAUUCCA
ensembl:lncRNA